rnacentral:rRNA from 1 species
UAGGGAAUCUUCCGCAAUGGGCGAAAGUCUGACGGAGCAACGCCGCGUGAGUGAUGACGGUCUUCGGAUCGUAAAACUCUGUUAUUAGGGAAGAACAAACGUGUAAGUAACUGUGCACGUCUUGACGGUACCUAAUCAGAAAGCCACGGCUAACUACGUGCCAGCAGCCGCGGUAAUACGUAGGUGGCAAGCGUUAUCCGGAAUUAUUGGGCGUAAAGCGCGCGUAGGCGGUUUUUUAAGUCUGAUGUGAAAGCCCACGGCUCAACCGUGGAGGGUCAUUGGAAACUGGAAAACUUGAGUGCAGAAGAGGAAAGUGGAAUUCCAUGUGUAGCGGUGAAAUGCGCAGAGAUAUGGAGGAACACCAGUGGCGAAGGCGACUUUCUGGUCUGUAACUGACGCUGAUGUGCGAAAGCGUGGGGAUCAAACAGGAUUAGAUACCCUGGUAGUCCACGCCGUAACGAUGAGUGCUAAGUGUUAGGGGGUUUCCGCCCCUUAGUGCUGCAGCUAACGCAUUAAGCACUCCGCCUGGGGAGUACGACCGCAAGGUU